rnacentral:rRNA from 1 species
AUUGAACGCUGGCGGCGUGCUUAACACAUGCAAGUCGAUCGGUAACAGGUGUAGCAAUACAUGCUGACGAGAGGCGGACGGGUGAGUAAUGCUUGGGAAUCUGCCUAUUAGUGGGGGACAACCCGGGGAAACUCGGGCUAAUACCGCAUACGCUCUACGGAGGAAAGCCGGGGACCGCAAGGCCUGGCGCUAAUAGAUGAGCCCAAGUCGGAUUAGCUAGUUGGAGGGUAACGGCCUACCAAGGCGACAAUCCGUAGCUGGUCUGAGAGGACGACCAGCCACACCGGAACUGAGACACGGUCCGGACUCCUACGGGAGGCAGCAGUGGGGAAUAUUGGACAAUGGGGGCAACCCUGAUCCAGCGACGCCGCGUGGGUGAAGAAGGCCUGCGGGUUGUAAAGCCCUUUCGGUGGGGAAGAAAAGUCUCGACCUAAUACGUCGGGACCUUGACGUAACCCACUAAAGAAGCACCGGCUAACUCUGUGCCAGCCGCCGCGGUAAU